rnacentral:rRNA from 1 species
CAGCAGCCACGGUAAUACGGAGGGUGCAAGCGUUAAUCGGAAUUACUGGGCGUAAAGCGCACGCAGGCGGUCUGUCAAGUCAGAUGUGAAAUCCCCGGGCUUAACCUGGGAACUGCAUUUGAAACUGGCAGGCUAGAGUCUUGUAGAGGGGGGUAGAAUUCCAGGUGUAGCGGUGAAAUGCGUAGAGAUCUGGAGGAAUACCGAUGGCGAAGGCAGCCAUCUGGCCUAAUACUGACGCUGAGGUACGAAAGCAUGGGGAGCAAACAGGAUUAGAUACCCGUGUAGUCCCUGUCUCUUAUAC